GGGGAAUUUUGGACAAUGGGCGCAAGCCUGAUCCAGCCAUGCCGCGUGAGUGAAGAAGGCCUUCGGGUUGUAAAGCUCUUUCAGUCGGGAAGAAAAGGCGGGCUCUAACAUAGCCCGUUGCUGACGGUACCGACAGAAGAAGCACCGGCUAACUACGUGCCAGCAGCCGCGGUAAUACGUAGGGUGCGAGCGUUAAUCGGAAUUACUGGGCGUAAAGCGUGCGCAGGCGGUUUUGUAAGACAGAUGUGAAAUCCCCGGGCUUAACCUGGGAACUGCGUUUGUGACUGCAAGGCUAGAGUACGGCAGAGGGGGGUGGAAUUCCACGUGUAGCAGUGAAAUGCGUAGAUAUGUGGAGGAACACCGAUGGCGAAGGCAGCCCCCUGGGCCUGUACUGACGCUCAUGCACGAAAGCGUGGGGAGCAAAC
rnacentral:rRNA from 1 species